UGCUAGGGAAGUGAGGUCACACAGUUAUGGCGGCUUGGGCCCGGAGACGCUGAGGAGAUCCGUGACUCUGGGGAAUCCGCGUCCAUCCGACGGGGAGCGGCGCCGCCCGCUAGUCUCACUGGUUUCGAGCGGCGGGACUGGGGGCUGCAAUGGUCACAGCAGUUGCCGGGCUCUGAAUUGGCAUCCGUGAAGCCGACUUGCGGGGGCAGAGCAGCCGAACUGGGCCGCUGCCAUGGAGCUGAGAGUCGGGAACCGAUACCGGCUGGGCCGGAAGAUCGGGAGCGGUUCUUUCGGGGAUAUUUACCUAGGAACAGACAUUGCUGCCGGUGAAGAGGUUGCCAUCAAAUUGGAAUGUGUGAAAACCAAGCAUCCUCAGCUCCACAUAGAGAGUAAAAUCUACAAAAUGAUGCAGGGAGGAGUGGGUAUUCCCACAAUUAAAUGGUGUGGAGCUGAAGGAGACUAUAAUGUAAUGGUGAUGGAGUUGUUGGGACCAAGCCUUGAAGAUCUAUUCAAUUUUUGUUCAAGGAAAUUCAGUCUGAAGACAGUCCUGUUGCUUGCUGACCAAAUGAUUAGUCGAAUUGAAUAUAUCCACUCUAAGAAUUUCAUCCACCGAGAUGUAAAACCUGAUAACUUCCUGAUGGGUCUGGGAAAGAAAGGCAAUCUGGUCUACAUAAUAGACUUUGGGUUAGCCAAGAAGUAUCGGGAUGCUCGAACUCACCAGCACAUUCCAUAUCGUGAAAAUAAAAACUUAACAGGAACUGCCCGUUAUGCAUCUAUAAACACUCAUCUUGGAAUUGAGCAGUCUCGCAGAGACGACUUGGAGUCCUUGGGCUAUGUACUGAUGUAUUUUAACCUGGGCUCCCUCCCAUGGCAGGGACUGAAGGCAGCAACAAAAAGACAGAAAUAUGAACGUAUCAGUGAAAAGAAAAUGUCUACACCCAUUGAGGUUUUGUGUAAAGGAUAUCCUUCCGAGUUUGCUACAUACCUGAAUUUCUGCCGCUCUUUGCGUUUUGAUGACAAACCAGACUAUUCUUAUCUAAGACAGUUAUUCAGAAACCUGUUCCACCGACAAGGCUUCUCCUAUGACUAUGUAUUUGACUGGAACAUGCUCAAAUUUGGUGCAAGCAGAGCGGCUGAAGAUGCUGAACGUGAAAGGAGAGAACGAGAGGAAAGAUUGAGACAUACACGAAAUCCUGCAGUACGUGGUUUACCCUCCACUGCCUCUGGGAGGCUGAGGGGAACGCAAGACGUAGCUCCGCCUCCUCCCCUUACUCCAACUUCGCAUACUGCUAACGCCUCUCCUCGGCCAGUGUCUGGAAUGGAGCGAGAACGGAAAGUGAGUAUGAGACUGCAUCGUGGUGCCCCUGUCAAUAUCUCUUCAUCUGAUUUAACAGGCCGCCAAGAUACUUCUCGCAUGUCAACUUCACAGGAGCGUUUCAAGGGCAGCAGCUUCCCAUCCAACUCAGAGAUUGCAAACAGAGAAGAGGGGAAGCAGAACAGCAACAAAUAUACCCAAUUCUUACCCCACCACCACCCCUGGCAGGGCUCUGGGGGUAAAGGUGAGGUAUCCAACUGACAUGUUGGUAAGGAAAGAUGAUGCAGUAGGCAGCAGGGCAACAAGACCAGGAGCCAAGAGUAUGUGACUAUGGGUUCAUCUUUCAGAAAUUGUUCUACUUCAAUAGAGUCCACCUUGGCAUCUUCAGGUGUUUUGUCUUCGGAUUUGUUUAACUCUUCUCUUUCUGCUGCCUCCUCUUUUGUUUGUGGCUCUUCUGAUUUUUUCUUAACACAGAAGAAGUUUCCUAAAGCCAGCACAAGGGCUGAAGUAACAACUUCAACUCCAGCAAUAAUAAAAACAAACAUAUACCUGCCUGUUGCAUCCAAGAGUUUGCCUGAAAGACAAAAUUCACAGGUCAUGUUUUCUAGACCUUUAAUCGUUUUUGUUGCUCUUCUCUGGACUUUUUCCAAUUUGUCCACAUCGUUCCUGAAAUGUGGCACCCAGAACUGGACACAAUACUCCAGUUGAGGCCUAAUCAGCACGGAGUAGAGCAGAAGAAUUACUUCUCGUGUCUUGCUUACUACACUCCAGGAUGACAUUUACUUUUUUUUUGCAACAGCGUUAGUUUGAGAUCCACUAUGACCCCCAGAUCCCUUUCUGCAGUACUCUUCCUAGGCAGUCAUUUCCCAUUUUGUAUGUGUGCAACUGAUUGUUCCUUCCUAAGUGGAGUACUUUGUAUUUGUUCCUACUGAAUUUCAUCCUAUUUACGUCAGACCAUUUCUCCAGAUCAUUUUGAAUUUUAAACCUAUCGUCCAAAGCACUUGAAACCCCUCCCAGCUUGAUACUGGCUGCAAACUUUAAGUGUACUCUCUAUGCCAUUGUCUAAAUCAUUGCUGAAGAUAUUGAACAGAACCAGACCCAGAACUGAUCCCUGCGGGACCCCCCUCAUUAUGCCCUUCCAACAUGACUGUGAACCACUGAUAACUACUCUCUGGGAACGAUUUUCCAACCAGUUAUGCACCCACCUUACAGUAGCUACAUCUAGGUUAUAUUUCCCUAGUUUGUUUAUGAGAAGGUCAUGCGAGACAGUAUCAAAAGCCUUACUAAAGUCAAGCUAUACCAUGUCUACCACUUCCCCACCCCCAUCCACAAGGCUUGUUACCCUGUCAAAGAAAGCUAUCAGGUUGGUUUGACAUGAUUUGUUCUUGACAAAUCCGUGCUGACUGCUAUUUAUCACCUUAUUAUCUAGGUGUUUGCAAACUGAUUGCUUAAUUAUUUACUCUAUUAUCUUUCUGGGUACAAAGUUAAGCUGACUGGUCUGUAAUUCUCCGGGUUGUCCUUAUUUCCCUUUUUAUAGAUUGGCACUAUAUUUCCAGUCUUCUGGAAUGUCUCCUGUCUUCCAUGACUUUUCAAAGAUAAUUGCUAAUGGCUCAGAUAUCUCCUCAGUUAGCUCCUUGAGUAUUCUAGGAUGCAUUUCAUCAGGUCCUGGUGAUUUGAAAACAUCUAACUUGUCUCAGUAAUCAUGUUCUUAUACAUCCGUGUGUCAGAAGCUGUUCCUACAAUUAUGUGGCUCCAAUAUGUAGGCACAAACAGGGAGAACACUGGCUUUUAAAAAUAUGCUUCAAAAAUUUGUAGAUGCUUGUGUUUUUAUAGUAAAUGCAUUUUUAAGGCAUUUAACAGAAAUAACUUGUCAUCAAACAUAAAUAUACUUAUUGGGAAAGUAUUUUAACACUUUUUCAGCUUAUAGAAUAGGGUUUAGGAAUGCUCUCAUUAUGUCAACUUUAAAAUCUACUGAAUUGUUUAAAUGUCCUGAAACUUGCAAAGCAACACACACAAAACAACAAUCAUAAUAAGCUGGGAUAGAGCUGACCAUGACACAAGGUAGCUACUGAUAACUUUCAAAAUAAACUAACUAUUUGCAUGGGCAGAUAAAGACUUUUCACUCCUGAUAGCAUUUUCCCUUCCACCCAGGUGCUGAAUUUCAUAUGCAUUUAGAUUGCACUUUCACUUAGUAAGCAGAAUCUGGAGCACAGAACUGUCUCACAAUUCAGCUUCUUAAUUCAAUUAAAUUCAGGUGGACUCAGGGUAGGAGUAUUAUUGAAGUGGUGACUGGGCCCUCAGCUGCUUGGAAAGGUUUUCUGGUUUUACGAGAGACUAAAUUAAAGAAUAGAUACUCUUUCUCCCCCACUCCCCCAAAACAAAAACAAACACCUUACAAAUAAAAUAAUUGUAGAGUGAAGUUAUGUUGCAUGAAGUCACCACCAUAUUUUUUUUUUAAAAAUUAAUGUGUCACGGUCACUUAAUUUGCAGGACUGUGCAGAGCACUCUGCAUAGGCUUGCAGAGAGGAGUCGGGGGGGGAGGGGAUAAGAGAGAAGAAAAGAUGGAUGGAGGACAUUAGACAUAAAAGGAUAAUGCAACCUGGGGCUGGAGUACCUUCCCCAAACAGAGCACCUUCAUGGGGAGAAUCUUUGAAUCUGACUCAGUUUUGGCCUCAACAACAUUCUGUGACAUUGAGUUCCACUGUCUAAUUAAGUGUUGUGUGAAAAAAUAAAUUUCCUUUGAUCAGUUUUGAA